GAUGAACGCUGGCGGCGUGCCUAAUACAUGCAAGUCGAGCGAACGGACGAGAAGCUUGCUUCUCUGAUGUUAGCGGCGGACGGGUGAGUAACACGUGGAUAACCUACCUAUAAGACUGGGAUAACUUCGGGAAACCGGAGCUAAUACCGGAUAAUAUUUUGAACCGCAUGGUUCAAAAGUGAAAGACGGUCUUGCUGUCACUUAUAGAUGGAUCCGCGCUGCAUUAGCUAGUUGGUAAGGUAACGGCUUACCAAGGCAACGAUGCAUAGCCGACCUGAGAGGGUGAUCGGCCACACUGGAACUGAGACACGGUCCAGACUCCUACGGGAGGCAGCAGUAGGGAAUCUUCCGCAAUGGGCGAAAGCCUGACGGAGCAACGCCGCGUGAGGGAUGAAGGUCUUCGGAGCGUAAAACUCUGUUAUUAGGGAAGAACAUAUGUGUAAGUAACUGUGCACAUCUUGACGGUACCUAAUCAGAAAGCCACGGCUAACUACG
rnacentral:rRNA from 1 species